rnacentral:piRNA from 1 species
UCCUAGAGGAGAGAAUUCUUUCUAGCAGGA